GACGUAGGGGACGAGCGUUGUCCGGAUUCAUUGGGCGUAAAGCGCGCGUAGGCGGCCAUGCAAGUCGGUUGUGAAAUCCCUGGGCUCAACCCAGGAACUGCGUCCGAUACUGGUUGGCUUGAAUCCGGGAGAGGGAUGUGGAAUUCCAGGUGUAGCGGUGAAAUGCGUAGAUAUCUGGAGGAACACCGGUGGCGAAGGCGACAUCCUGGACCGGUAUUGACGCUGAGGCGCGAAAGCCAGGGGAGCAAACGGG
rnacentral:rRNA from 1 species